rnacentral:rRNA from 1 species
GCUCGCCUACGGGACGCAGCAGUGAGGAAUAUUGGUCAAUGGCCGAGAGGCUGAACCAGCCACGUCGCGUGAGGGAUGACGGCCCUACGGGUUGUAAACCUCUUUUGUCGGGGAGCAAAGAGAGUCACGUGUGGCUCAUUGAGAGUACCCGAAGAAAAAGCAUCGGCUAACUCCGUGCCAGCAGCCGCGGUAAUACGGAGGAUGCGAGCGUUAUCCGGAUUUAUUGGGUUUAAAGGGUGCGUAGGUGGACUGUUAAGUCAGCGGUAAAAGCCCUGGGCUCAAC